rnacentral:rRNA from 1 species
GACGAACGCUGGCGGCGUGCUUAACACAUGCAAGUCGAGCGGUAAGGCCCUCGGGUACACGAGCGGCGAACGGGUGAGUAACACGUGGGUGACCUGCCUCUAGCUCUGGGAUAAGCCUGGGAAACUGGGUCUAAUACCGGAUAUGACUCCACGGCGCAUGUUGUGGGGUGGAAAGCCUUGUGUGGCUAGAGAUGGGCCCGCGGCCUAUCAGCUUGUUGGUGGGGAUGGCCUACCAAGGCGACGACGGGUAGCCGGCCUGAGAGGGCGACCGGCCACACUGGACUGAGACACGGCCCAGACUCCUACGGGAGGGCAGCAGUGGGGAAUCUUGCGCAAUGGGCGAAAGCCUGACGCAGCGACGCCGCGUGAGGGAUGACGGCCU